rnacentral:lncRNA from 1 species
CUUACCCUCACCCAAUCUCAUGACUUCUCUCAAGGCCCAUUCAUAAACGCACUCCACCCUACACCACAAGUUCAAACAGUUUGCCCGAGCAACGGGAGUCUGGGAGGCAGUUCCCAGUCCACAACAUUAUCAACAGACACGUUCCUAGGGUCAGAUACAUUGCAGAUUCUGAAUUCUGGCCAAGUGCAGACAGUCGCGCCUCAUGUAGUGACAUUGCAGUGCUCUAGUGAGCCGAGUACCACACAGGCUGUGCCUGUAUCACUAAUACAAACUCCUGUAACUUUAUCAUUGUAGUCAACAGGAGAGGUCUUUUCUUGUGAAUUAUGUUAAAAAUUGUUACCAGAAUUAUUAUAUUAAAAUAGCUUGAUAAGUAAUGUUCAAGAGGUGGUUUUUCUCUGUCUUUGUUUUUAUCAA